UAGGGAAUCUUCGGCAAUGGACGAAAGUCUGACCGAGCAACGCCGCGUGGGUGAAGAAGGUUUUCGGAUCGUAAAACUCUGUUGUUAGAGAAGAACAAGGACGUUAGUAACUGAACGUCCCCUGACGGUAUCUAACCAGAAAGCCACGGCUAAAUACGUGCCAGCAACCGCGGUAAUACGUAGGUGGCAAGCGUUGUCCGGAUUUAUUGGGCGGAAAGCGGGCGCUGGCGGUUUAUUAAGAUUGAUGUGAAAGCCCCCGGCUCAACCGGGGAGGGUCAUUGGAAGCUGGGAGACUUGAGUGCAGAAGAGGAGAGUGGAAUUCCAUGUGUAGCGGUGAAAUGCGUAGAAAUAUGGAGGAACACCAGUGGCGAAGGCGGCUCUCUGGUCUGUAACUGACGCUGAGGCUCGAAAGCGUGGGGAGCAAACAGG
rnacentral:rRNA from 1 species